AGUAGCCAUGGAGAUUGUUAUAGGAACCUACGAAGGACCGAUAAUUUCCUAUGCAGCAAAGCUUACAGACGAUAUAAACUUUGAGGCUCAAUUUGUAGACAAGUCGCACAGUGGAUGUGUUAAAAGUGUAGCCUGUAACAACAGAUAUCUUGCUACAGGGAGUUCAGAUGAGUCAAUAAGGCUGCUGGAUCUUCACAAGAGAGUGGAGUUAGGUGCGCUGAUGCAACACUCGGGAACUGUAAACUGUCUCUCUUUUCAUGGCUCACAUCUUCUUAGUGGAUCAGAUGAUGGAACUAUUUGUGUGUACCAGUGCGGAACCUGGGAGUGUUUGAAGAUAUUGAAAAGUCACACUGCUGCUGUAACUCAGUUGUCAGUCCACCCCUCUGGAGUGCUAGCAUUGUCUGUUAGUCGAGAUAAGACCCUUAAAACUUGGAGUCUGAUCACUGGUAAACCUGUCCAUACUGUCAACCUACAGACUAUACCUGACAGUGUUAUCUGGAACACAGAUGGGUCAUCCUACGCUAUCUUAUCUGAUAAAGAGAUUCUAGUGUUCCAACCUCAUUCCGGUAAACCUGUCAGAAACUACUCCUCCCCUAAACGAAUUGUUGCUUGUAAGUUCCUAUCACCAACGCUACUAGUGUACGGAGGUGAAUGUAAAGAUAUAACAGCAGUUGAGAUAGAAACUAACUCAGUACAGACAUUAACUGGUCACGUGUCUAGAGUCAAAUCAUUGGACUUCGUCAGGUCGGAUGUAAAAGACCACUAUCUCCUGAUAUCAGUUGCAAGUGACGGUGAUAUAAAGAUAUGGGCUCUUUCGCAGGACUCUCAUGAAUUGAUAGGCGGAACAACACUAAACAACAACAGACCCGUGUGUAUGUGUGUUUACACUGGGGAGAAGAAAUAUGUUAAACAGAUGACUACACCAGCACCAACACUAAAACAUCAGGUUGUGAAGAAGCCGAAAAAGAGGAUAAAACGUAAAGUACUAUUUGCAAAUAUUCACGCAAUAAGAGGAGGAAAAAGCAUUACACGUAAACUGAAACAUAAGAAGAGAAACAGAAUUAUCCCGCUAGCUUUAGAACAUUAGUAAAGUUAGUUUACUGAUCAAUUGAUGAGUCCAGAGUUGAUUAAUUGGUUAAUGAUUGGAUAAAUGAUAGUUAAUUGUUUCCUAGUUAGUAUGAAAUGUAUUACCAUAGCUAUAUUUCCCUUUUCAAUGUAUUCUAACCAAAGCUAGUGGCUGCUGUUUUUCAUAAUCUGCUAUUAUAUUAAUAGAGGUUUACUAAACCUUGCAAUACUUUGAAAUAUCUGAUAUAAUAAUAUUUGAAUUUCUAAACCGUGCCUUAUUAAGCCAAUUUUGAUGUAGUUCACUAAAUAUUACACCAGAUGUUACACCAGAUGUUACACUAGAUGUUACACCAGAUGUUACACUAGAUGUUACACUAGAUGUAAUAUUAGAUGUUACACUAUUUCUGAGGAGUUUGUUUUUAACUAUUAUAAAAAGGGGAGUGUUAUUAUCUCAUGCUAUUUGUAUUUUGUAAUUAUUUCCCUAUUUCACUGGUUGUCUACUCAGAGUCCUUACUUUAUUGCUUACAAUAAGUCUCUUGUAUUCCUUUUAAAUUGGGGUCCAGUUCUAAACGAUCUAUACUAGUGUGCUGAUCAAUUUUAAAGAGUCUUGGUUUCUGACCUUCGUGAUAUUGAUGUUAUGUGUACCAUGCACUGUUAUUUUUAAAUAUAAUAUUCGUGUAAAAUGAAAAUAACUGCAACUACUAUUACAAAGUUAGAGCUAUGGUGAAGAGUAAAGCAUCAACAGUAACACAGUUACUAGUGACAGCAUUCUCAAUGUUGAUUGUACCUGUGACACUGUUCUUUGUGGGCAAGUGGUAUUUGUUUGCUGAACUAGAGAAUUCUGAUGUUUACUCUGCUGUUAUUGCUAUACUUGCGGUACACGUUAUACUAGGGAUAUAUUGUUACGUAGCGUAUCAAGAAGUGAAGGAGGACUCCCAGUCCCCCGCUCCUGUGUCACAGCUAAAGAAAGCAGACUAGUUAUUUAGUAUUUUAUAUUGCAAUGGUAACUGCACUUACUGCACUUACUGCACUAACUGCACCUGAAUCCUGAUGUUGUUGAUCAACGAUCGUUAUUUUGUAUAAUUUAUGGAAUUUUAUCUUCAGUUUUGUAAUAAGAUUUACUUGUUAAAUGCAUUACAAUGGCAAUGUUAUGACUGCCGAACAGUUAAUAUUUUAUUACAAUUUCUUAAUAUAUCUUAAUCGAAGAAAAUGUUUACAUUUUGAUUUGAUGUAAUUGUAUUGGGUAAUUCUGUUUAA